GGUGGCUCAGAGGUAGAGUGCUUGCCUUGCAUGCAUGAGACCCUGGGUUCGAUUCCUCAGCACCA
rnacentral:tRNA from 1 species